rnacentral:lncRNA from 1 species
AUAGCUUGCUGUUCGAUGUGAGCCUAGGCUCCAUGUUGAAGACCGUACCUUGACCUAUAACGGUUUACUUUUAUAAAUUGUUACUUAGAUGGAGAGUUGUCUUAUUGGCACUCAUACCACAUCUUCCUAUAUUUAUUGACACAUCUGUGUCAUCUCUGCUAUCGUUCACUAAAAUAUCGUCAUUUGAGCUUGAUGGACCAGCAAUAGGUUGUAAUUUAGGUUGGAUUGGUCGGUCCGACAUCUCUGCUGGAUCAGGAUUCGUUACUAUCAGAGCUC